rnacentral:rRNA from 1 species
GUUGGUCUGAAAUCAGGUGGGAUUACCCGCUGAACUUAA